GUCCCUGUUGAGCAAUUAGCGCGUUGGACUUCUAAUCCAAAAGUCGUGGGUUCGAAUCCCUCCUGAGAUG